rnacentral:lncRNA from 1 species
CAAUCUGGGAGCUGAGAGAGCUCAGUGAAGGUUUCACAAAGAAGGUAUUGGGGACCCUUUUUGGCAUGAGAGUUGCAGUGGCACUGAGAUGACAGGAAUAAGUGAGCAAAGCCUGUUUGAGGUCUAGGAAGAAGAGGUGUGGUAACGGUACCUUAAGAACUGGAGAAACUUCUGGACCUUCACUGCCAAUGCACAACCAUCACCGCCACCAAGCUUCAGCAAUCUCUCCCUUGGACA